AUUGAACGCUGGCGGCAUGCCUUACACAUGCAAGUCGAACGGCAGCACGGGUGCUUGCACCUGGUGGCGAGUGGCGAACGGGUGAGUAAUACAUCGGAACAUGUCCUGUAGUGGGGGAUAGCCCGGCGAAAGCCGGAUUAAUACCGCAUACGAUCUACGGAUGACAGCGGGGGACCUUCGGGCCUCGCGCUAUAGGGUUGGCCGAUGGCUGAUUAGCUAGUUGGUGGGGUAAAGGCCUACCAAGGCGACGAUCAGUAGCUGGUCUGAGAGGACGACCAGCCACACUGGGACUGAGACACGGCCCAGACUCCUACGGGAGGCAGCAGUGGGGAAUUUUGGACAAUGGGCGAAAGCCUGCUCCAGCAAUGCCGCGUGUGUGAAGAAGGCCUUCGGGUUGUAAAGCACUUUUGUCCGGAAAGAAAUCCUUGGCCCUAAUACGGUCGGGGGAUGACGGUACCGGAAGAAUAAGCACCGGCUAACUACGUG
rnacentral:rRNA from 1 species